UCACUCCUACGGGAGGCAGCAGUGGGGAAUAUUGCACAAUGGGCGCAAGCCUGAUGCAGCCAUGCCGCGUGUAUGAAGAAGGCCUUCGGGUUGUAAAGUACUUUCAGCAGUGAGGAAGGCAGGUACGUUAAUAGCGUGCUUGUUUGACGUUAGCUGCAGAAGAAGCACCGGCUAACUCCGUGCCAGCAGCCGCGGUAAUACGGAGGGUGCGAGCGUUAAUCGGAAUUACUGGGCGUAAAGCGCAUGCAGGUGGUUUGUUAAGUCAGAUGUGAAAGCCCGGGGCUCAACCUCGGAAUUGCAUUUGAAACUGGCAGACUAGAGUACUGUAGAGGGGGUAGAAUUUCAGGUGUAGCGGUGAAAAUGCGUAGAGAUCUGAAGGAAUACCGGUGGCGAAGGCGGCCCCCUGGACAGAUACUGACACUCAGAUGCGAAAGCGUGGGGAGCAAACAGGAUUAGAUACCCUGGUAG
rnacentral:rRNA from 1 species